UUUAUAAGCAUACCAGUGGAGAACCACAGUAUGAGCACCAGGAGAGACUCCAUUCUGUCAAAUUAGUCGGAUGGGGCAUGCUAGAAGAUGCAGAAGGACAAUGGCAAAAAUAUUGGAUUGCUGCAAAUUCCUGGGGAAUUUCCUGGGGAGAAAACGGUUAUUUCAGGAUUUUACGAGGACAAAACGAAUGUGAUAUUGAAAAACUGAUCAUAGCUACCAAAUGUCACCUUUAAGAGAUUUUCAUUAUGGCUACUAUUUUGUUCUACAUAGUUUUUUG
rnacentral:lncRNA from 1 species